rnacentral:rRNA from 1 species
UACGUAGGGGCGCAAGCGUUUAUCCGGAAUUAUUGGGCGUAAAGAGCUCGUAGGCGGUUUGUCGCGUCUGCCGUGAAAGUCCGGGGCUCAACUCCGGAUCUGCGGUGGGUACGGGCAGACUAGAGUGAUGUAGGGGAGACUGGAAUUCCUGGUGUAGCGGUGAAAUGCGCAGAUAUCAGGAGGAACACCGAUGGCGAAGGCAGGUCUCUGGGCAUUUAACUGACGCUGAGGAGCGAAAGCAUGGGGAGCGAACAGG